AUUGAACGCUGGCGGCAUGCCUUACACAUGCAAGUCGAACGGUAGCGGGCCUUCGGGUGCCGACGAGUGGCGAACGGGUGAGUAAUGCAUCGGAACGUGCCAUUGAGUGGGGGAUAACGUAGCGAAAGUUACGCUAAUACCGCAUAUUCUGUGAGCAGGAAAGCAGGGGACCGCAAGGCCUUGCGCUCUUUGAGCGGCCGAUGUCAGAUUAGCUAGUUGGUGAGGUAAAGGCUUACCAAGGCGACGAUCGUGUAGCGGGUCUGAGAGGAUGAUCCGCCACACUGGAACUGAGACACGGUCCAGACUCCUACGGGAGGCAGCAGUGGGAAUUUUGGACAAUGGGGGCAACCCUGAUCCAGCCAUGCCGCGUGAGUGAAGAAGGCCUUCGGGUUGUAAGACU
rnacentral:rRNA from 1 species